UAGAUGGACAACAUCUUUUUGAAAUCACAAAUUUAGAAAAAUUGGAAAAUUUGAAAUGGGCAUCAUUCAGCAAUAAUAAUCUCACUAAAAUGGAGGGUCUGGAAUCCUGUAUUAACUUGGAAGAGCUCACAUUAGAUGGAAACUGCAUCUCAAAGAUAGAAGGUAUUUCCAAGAUGACUAAAUUAACUCGCCUCAGCAUAAAUAAUAAUCUUCUCACUGGUUGGGAAGAGCAUACCUUUGAUAACAUGCUUCAUCUUCACUCGCUUUCUCUUGAGAACAACAGAAUCACUUCAUUGAGUGGUUUACAAAAAUCUUUUACUCUUGUUGAGUUAUACAUAAGCAAUAACUAUAUUGCUGUCAAUCAGGAGAUGCACAAUUUAAAGGUAAUCAUCUGGGUAGUAAUUUUUUUGUUUUUUAAAAUGUAUUGUUUCUUUAUAUUAUGAAAUUAAUGCAUGUUUAUUGCACAGAAUUUGGAAAAUAUAAAGAAAAUAAAAAUAAGAAUAACAAGUUUAUU
rnacentral:sRNA from 1 species